AAACACGUUGUUUGUUUCAUUUCAGAGCCAUACAUAACUGGGUCAAGGACUUUAUUUUACUCUAUUUUAAACUUUAUUUUAGGGCUACGCAGUUGCACUGAUCACAACUAUGGAUAUAAACAUGCUGCUCCUGUUUCUAUUGCUGCUGCUCUUUGGUUCUCAGGCUAACCAUUUCUUUGGGACAGUGAUGACUUUUACCCCCAAAGACAAGACACAUAAUGGCUCUCUCAUGGUGGUCUUUCACUACAAGCUGAGCUUUCGCUCAUGCACCGAUCAAGACACGUGGAGCUGUGUCAGCGGUGACUGUGGUACAGAAAGUGUGGAGCUGAGCAUUGUGGAUGAGGAGGACAAAGAGUGGUGUCAGAGGGAAGGAGUCAUGUCUCGGGAAGUUUCCAGCAAUGCUGUGUUUCAGCUACGAUUGGAUGGCGGUGACUGGAUUCAAACCAAAAACAAGGUGAAGAAAUGGAGAGCUCUGACUAAUGUGGACCUGAGGACUCGUCUCGACACUAAUCAGCCAAACAAGUCACCUCAGACCACCAUCCUGCCAGCCCUGCGAGUCCCUUCAAACUGUCAAAGAGUCUUCACCCUGUCGGCCUUUGACCCUGAUGGAGACAAGGUUAAAUGCAGAUUUGGAGACAUAGACGCAGAUGAGUGUAAUCCUUGUACACCACCGUCUGUUCUGACCAUCUCACAAGCUUGCACAUUGUCAUUUAAUCCUGUCAGCAGGCAAGAUGAAGGUUCAUAUGCAGUACAGCUGGAAAUGGAGGACUUCCCAAAAAAGACUAUCAUCAUCAGUGAUUAUGGUUUUCAGACAAACAUCACUCCCAGCGAGGCUCUCAGCAAAAUACCAAUCAGAUUUGCUCUGAUGGCAGAUCAUCUUCCUGCAUCUCACCCUAUACCAGCAUUCUCCUCUGUCACACCAACCCUCUGCAUGUCCUCCUUCACCACAUCCAUCAAUCUUCUCUGCGGUCCCUCUCUUUUUCUCCUGCCUGACAGCUCUGUGUUCAACAUCUAUUGCCC
ensembl:lncRNA